GAUGAACGCUGGCGGCGUGCCUAGUACAUGCAAGUCGAGCGAACGGACGAGAAGCUUGCUUCUCUGAUGUUAGCGGCGUACGGGUGAGUAACACGUGGAUAACCUACCUAUAAGACUGGGAUAACUUCGGGAAACCGGAGCUAAUACCGGAUGAUAUUUUGAACCGCAUGGUUCAAAAGUGAAAGACGGUCUUGCUGUCACUUAUAGAUGGAUCCGCGCUGCAUUAGCUAGUUGGUAAGGUAACGGCUUACCAAGGCAACGAUGCAUAGCCGACCUGAGAGGGUGAUAGGCCAAACUGGAACUGAGACACGGUCCAGACUCCUACGGGAGGCAGCAGUAGGGAAUCUGCCGCAAUGGGCGAAAGCCUGACGGAGCAACGCCGCGUGAGUGAUGAAGGUCUUCGGAUAGUAAAACUCUGUUAUUAGGGAAGAACAUAUGUGUAAGUAACUGUGCACAUCUUGACGGUACCUAAUCAGAAAGCCACGGCUAACUACGUG
rnacentral:rRNA from 1 species